GAUGAAAUGGCUGAAAAUAAGCGAUAAAUUGUAAAUUUAUUUAUGAAGGAACCUUCUUUUAUCA
rnacentral:tRNA from 1 species